CAUACUAGUGCUGGUGCAGGAUGAACCAGGAGAUAAAACCGGAAAGCAUCUUGGGGAUUGGGUGGUAAAGCCCUCUUACGAGGUAAUUGCUUGACUCUACGUGCAUUUUUUAAAAUCUAAAAAAAAAAAUUUAAUUAAUUAAUAAUUAAAUAAUCAUGAAUUUAAUAAUUACAAAUAAUUAAUUAACACAUUUUUAAUUUCAUGCAAAUUAAUCAUUAUUAUUUCAAUUUAAUAAUUACUAAUAAUUAAUUAACACAUUUUUAAUUUCAUGCAAAUUAAUCAUUAUUAUUAUAAUUUAAUAAUUACUAAUUAACUAACAAAUUUAUAAUUAAUUAAAUAAUUUCAAAUUAAAAUGAUCAAAUAAUAUUAUUUCAUGCAAAUAUUUCAUUAUUAACAAAUAAAUUUCAUGCAAAUUAAUUAUUAUUUAAUAAUUGUUAAUCAAUUAAUAAUAUACUAAUUGUUAUUUCAAAUGAUAAUUAAAAUUAUAAUUUAAUCAUUUCAUUUUACAAAAAAUUUAAUAAUUUAAAAAUUAAUUCAUUAAAUAAAUUUAAUUUUUCACCGCAAUAUAACUUCCAAAUCCGAAUUUUACGAAUAAUCGGUUUUUCAGAACCUAGAACGUACAAGUAAAAAACAAAAUAAUUAAUUUAUAAAUUAUUUUAAAACAGUAAAUUAUUAAUUAUUUAAUUAGAAACGGUAAAUAAAAUAAUUAAUUUUUAAAUUAUUUAUUUAUUUUUAAAUAUUAUUAAUUAUUUAAUUAAAAACAGUAAAUAAAUUAAUUAAGUUAAUUAAUUUUUCAAUUAUUUAAAAACAGUAUAUUCUUUAUUUAUUUAAAAAAUAUAUUAAUUAUUUAAUUAUAAACAGUAAAUAAAAUAAUUAAUUUUUAAAUUAUUUAAAAACAGUUAAUUAUUUAUUUAUUUAAAAAAUAUAUUAUUUAUUUAAUUAAAAAUAGUAAAUUAAAUAUUUAAUUAAUUUCUACAUUAUCUAAAAUCAGUAAAUAUUUAAUUAAAUUAGAAACAAUAAUUAUUUAUUUAAAUUAAUCAAUAAUUAUGUAAAAUUAAUUAUAUAAAAUUAAACAAUACAACAAACACGCAUUAACUAUUUCAUAAAAAAAAAUUAUUAAAUCUCACCAAAACGGACAAGCGAGGCGACGUGAUUAAGGCAGGACGUAGGCGGUGGCUACCAGAGGCGACCUUGGAACUGGCAUCGGCGAAUAAACGGCGCGAGGCAAUCGGCUGAAACGACUAUUAUUGAAAUUAAAACAAAAUCUUCACAUUUUAUAAUUCUUAUUCAAUCAUUGAAAAUCUUAACAUAUCAAAAACCCAUGAAAUUCUUAUUCAUACAUUGAAAUCAAAACUAAAAUAGUAGACACAUCUUCGUCAUAAACUAUAACAAAUCCACCUUGAAAUCAAAUCGUAAAACCAUUCAAAUAAACAUAAACCCAUGAUCAUAAACUAUAACAAAAAUCAAUAGAUACACAAAACAACAAAACAGUAUAUCAAAAACCCAAGUCAAUCAAAAACCCAUCACUUAUCAACACAAUAACUUACUGUAAAAGAUAUCAAACAAACAAAAUCAACAAACAAUGACUUACUGUAAAAGAUAUCAAACUAACAAUCAACACUUAUCAAACCCAUAAAUCAAACCCAUAAAUCCAUUUCAAAAACCCAACAAUUAUCAAAAAUAAUCAACACGAUAACUAAUUAAACAUAUAAGAAAAAUUAAACAAUAAGAUACAUGAAUUAAACACAAAACAAACAUAAAUUAAAAAAUACCUACGAGGAGGCAGCGGCAUGAGGAGUCCGGCGAGCUAGGAGGCAGCAGCGUAACUGGCGAGCGAGGAGGCGACGAUCUUCACAGAUGCAGGAGGCAACGACGAGUGGGCGGCAGAGGCAGGGGAUUUCUCAGACAGAUGCGUUCUGUUUGGGAUUUGGGGUUUUUAAUAAACUCCUAAUUCUUACAUUUCCGCCAUGUAAGUACACUUAAAUUUCGCCAUCGAAAACGAAAAAGUCCGCCCUAUCGAAAUUUGAGCGGGCCUUUUCCACCCGACUCCCCGAAUACUUAACAUGGCAGAUAUCCGCCAUGUUAAGUCAAUUUAAUCGGGUAAUCGGGUUGAAUAUUGGGGGGGAAUUGAAAUUUUGGGCGGGAGUUUUUAGAACACCGUCGUCGAGCCAAAACCUUUCCUCAGCGGACUCAAUGAAUAGAUGGCGGAUAUUCGUCAUCAAAACAACUGAAUUAUUGAUGACGGAUUUCCGUCAUCUAAAGACCGUAAUAUAAGGUACUUUUUUUUGUAGUGUUUUUACAUUUACUGUUUCAAACUAUUAACAAAUUAAUUCAAUCAGUUUCAGUCAUCAUAAGUUAUCAGACAAUCAAAUAUCACUAACUUUAACAACUCAUAAGGCAAUACACUCCAAGAUCAGUCAAAUUGAUAUCUAUCAUAAACACUAAGAAUCAUUAGAUUUAACAUAAGAAUCAAUUAAAUAAUCAUUAGAUCUAACAUCAUAAUCAAUAAGAAUCAUUACAUCUAACAUAAGAAUCUAAUGAUUUAAUAUUACU
rnacentral:lncRNA from 1 species